CCAUGGCUGUUAUUGCGACAUUGAAUCCCUGGGAAAUGAAUCGUGAACGACUUCUAGCGUCCGAUUGAUGGAUUAAUGGCAGCGGAGUGGGGUUUCCAAGGUAUUCGCUGCUAACGAACCUCAUUCAAAUCGAGUGCUGCUUGUCUGGCACCGCUUAUUUCCCUACUGUGAUUCUGAUCCUCACUACUGUGAUUCUAGUGGUACUGUUUCCCAACCGAAGGUCAAGGAUCCUGAUCAACCAUAGGCCACCAACAGGGGUGGCAUCCCAAUCCGCCUCACUCUGGAACUUGAAGAUAUCGUGGUCUUCAACUAGGGCAAAGGAUUCAACCUCAUGCGAGUUUGCCCUUCUCCUUCAGCUCACGAGCCAUCCAAUCCACCGGCAUCUUGUGUACUAAGGCUCUUAGCUAUCACUGCUGUAGUCUCCUAGGCAUGUCUGGAAGCUUCAAUCUUCUCCUCCAGUGGUUCUAGCACCUCAAUGAGGUAGCAUUGGAGAUUUUAUAGCUUCUUAUCGGUGAUCUUAUGGCUUGCUCAGAUCGCUUUUCGCGGGUGGCCUUGUUCCACCUUGGCCCUCACCACUGGAGGUGUCCUCCUAUGUCUCUUCACUCUGAUCUCCCAUUCUACUUGAGCCCUAGAUGUUUGAUGGAAUGUUUAAAAGAUUAAAUGAAACUCGAAGCAAUGUGUCACUAGAGCAACAACUAACCUUUUGAAAGAUUUACUUUGGUUUCGAUUUCGGAUUUGGUUUUGGGGAAUGAUGGUGAAUUCAGAUUUGGUUUCGAUUUUUUUCACUAAUCAUAUUGAAUAUACCCGACUGACAUUCCUUUCAUCACCACACUGUAGCAUUGUGGGUGGGAAAAAAAACUUAGUGAAGCAUUGUUUCCUG
rnacentral:lncRNA from 1 species